rnacentral:tRNA from 1 species
GCCGAGGUAGCUUAGCUGGUAAAGCAACGGUAUCGUAAACCGUAGACCGGGAGUUCGAAUCUCCCCCUCGGCU